rnacentral:lncRNA from 1 species
GAAAGACACCAUUCUCCCCUAUGCUUUUCAAAGAACAGUUCACAGCUGCAACAUCUCUCUGCAUGUAAAUAAAGAGAACAAGUUACUUUGAGUCAGUGAAGAUUCAUAACUGAUUUCUCUUUGGUGUAGGUACCUGUGGGAAUAUGUGUCUAGCUUUUCCAAUUUCGAUGACUUCAAGCUGCACAUCCUUUUACAACCACAGUGUUAACAACAACUUUGAAAGUUUCCAGCUCUGCAGAGGAAGCAGGCAGUUGAAGAUUGUCUCCUAACACAGAGCGUGACUGUCCCCUUCCACCGCCUCUUGACCAGGAGAUAAAUGACUUAUGUUAGCAGCCAGCAGGGACAGGAGGUCAGGCAUGGGGCCCCUCCCAAAAAGUCCUGCCAACACACCCACCCUCUACUGCAAGGAAAGAAAGACUGGGAAAUGGAGAUACUUGCUGGAAGGUUGGAACCCUCAGGAAAGACAAGGUCAAAUAUGAAGAUUUGAAAUAGAGUGGGCAAAGAAAGACAACAAUGAAGAUUCAUGUUUUAUACAACCGAGGUCUGGCUCAGCAGGAUAAUGGUGAGAAUUUCACUUAAAGUGGAACCGCAAUGCUAUUUUUAUAUUUCGGUGUUAGAAAGAAUCAGCAUUGAUGAGUGCAUCAAUAAAAAUAAAUGUACACAGCAACUUGUAAAACCUCCUAUUUAGAUCACAAAAUCACCAAAAUUUCCAGGUAUGUGCAGCGCCAUAUUCUGCGAUUCAGAGUGAGGCAACCAAAAGUCCAAUGACAUGCAGAGAACCUAUGACUUUGUAAACAAACAGGCUUGUGAAUACCUCUCUUUUAAUCCAAUAGAAAUAUUGCUCUUUGGUUUUGUGACGGUUUUGUUGAUAGUUGUCAUUUAACUUUGCAUAAGUUGGAACAUUUCUGUAGUGAAAUGUCUGCUGUACAACCUGUACUUAUUUGCUCAUCAUAUAACAUUAAUCAUUACAAUGACAAGUGAGCAGGAAGGGUUCCAGGAAGGAACUCGAAUACAAGUUUUCGACAACAUGGCAACUUACAGUACUUUUAUAAAAGUUCACGAUUUGGUGCUUAAUUCGAAAUACCGUCAAUGAAUUUAUUUUGUUACUGAGAUUUAAUAACCGGCCUGAGAAAUUGGGACUGCAGUUCCCCUUUAAGAUUUAACUGAGUUCUAAAACCCUAAGGACUUUCUCUACACCUUUUCUUGCAGUGCAACACUUACAGAUUUAUCUGCCUCAGUUAAUCUACCUAACAGACACAUAAACACAUAACAUUAGUAAAAUCCUCAUUGUAUGAGAAGAUAAGGCUGAACGUUAUUUAGUUGGAAUGUUUGAAUGUCUCCAAGGUAUUUAAAGGUGUUCAUCUUUAUAUUUGAAGGAGUGAAUCUCUGCAAAACAGAAUAAACAAAACAAAAUAGUUCUGACACUGAGUGUAGCCAAGCAAACUGGUGAAGGAGGUUAAUGAAUUCAGACUUACAAGUUCCAUUUCAGGCUUUGAAAUUCUGACUUCUUCAAAUAUCUUGUAAAU